CCUACGAGUGGCUGCAGUGAGGAAUAUUGGUCAAUGGUCGCGAGCCUGAACCAGCCAAGUAGCGUGAAGGAUGACUGCCCUACGGGUUGUAAACUUCUUUUAUAAAGGAAUAAAGUGAGGCACGUGUGCCUUUUUGUAUGUACUUUAUGAAUAAGGAUCGGCUAACUCCGUUCCAGCAGCCGCGGUAAUACGGAGGAUCCGAGCGUUAUCCUGAUUUAUUGGGUUUAAAGGGAGCGUAGAUGGGUUGUUAAGUCAGUUGUGAAAGUUUGCGGCUCAACCGUAAAAUUGCAAUUGAUACUGGCAGUCUUGAGUACAGUUGAGGUAGGCGGAAUUCGUGGUGGAGCGGUGAAAUGCUUAGAUAUCACGAAGAACUCCGAUUGCGAAGGCAGCUUACUAAACUGCCACUGACAUUGAUGCUCGAAAGUGUGGGUAUCAAACAGGAUUAGAUACCCCUGUAGUC
rnacentral:rRNA from 1 species